rnacentral:lncRNA from 1 species
GAGAGGGAGAAACCUGCCGCGGCUCUCCGCCUCUUUGUCUGCUCUGGGACUUGGAACAAAAGGGGAAACUCUGAUGAACUCCUUCUCCAGCUCCCUGGACGCCCGAGUAUCUCUUUCUCGCAACUUUGUCAACGCGACUUUCUCCGCUGUCAGGCUGCGCAAAAGUAUCCUAGCGCCUCGCAGGCUGCAACAAUGGAAACAAUGUCCCUUCAAAGUGCGACGAAGUGGAGGGAGAAGGUGUCAUACCAGCGACUCCAAGAGUCAUGUCACCCACUUAGCAGGAGUACUUCUACUGAAAUGCCUUCGAAUUUCUCUUACUGGAUAUAUACCUACCAGCCGCUAGCAUGAAGAUGCCAGGACCGCUGCAAGUUAGCACUGGACAAAGUAGCAUCAACUUCUUCAUUUAGAGUUUCUUCAGUUAAAUUGCUGGGAUUUUCGACAAGGCUUUCCUUAUGUGGAUUAUUGGAGUGUGAUGCCCGAGAAUUCUCUACUUGUAGAAGCACGCCCACGGGACUGCAGAAGCCUUCACACCCACCCAGCACGCUCAGAUCAUCCAGUAACCAACCCAGGAAGUUCUUGUAAGCAUGCAUUUCUUAGUCAACACUGAAUGCCUUUAGACCGAGGUCAACCUUUUCAGCUGGUACCGUGGUUUACACUGCUGAAAGUACUGUCUUCAACCUUACCAAUGUCAGUGGCGGCGACGGUGGCGUCACCAUCACCAUCAGAGAAAAAGAAAUAUGCCUUUAUGUCAUGGGUUGAUGGCCUAACACUGGCUUAACACUCAUGUCGGCUGCACUAAUUGAAGUCACAUCCAAGUGGGUCAAUGCACUGAACAUAUCUGAUAUAGAAGGUCCCAGAUCCUGAAUUUUUAUCAAUGGUUUGCUGUAUAAGGCUUGCCUCCCAAAUAGCUGAGGACCCUUAUUUGGGAAGAUACGUUCUGAUGGUUAAGCAACAGCACAGAUGUCGAUGGGAAUGAGUGAUGGCCAUCCAGUGACCAGCUGGAUCUGACUGCCUUACAAGACGCAUGUGUAUGAUUAAGAGAGAGACAUUCGUGACUCCCAGAUGUACCUCCUUCCUGUCCCACAGUGUUCCUGAAGGGAGUGAGUUAUGGGGUAACUUAUAACACAGCAGGCUCUUCCUCAAGAUAGCUCUUGUCAAAACAGGAAGACGAAACUCGGGUUUCCAUGAGGAGACCACAGCUUGGGAUCCUGUCUGGAUGUACAAGCAGAAGCAUCUUCAUACUUUUCCAUUUCUAACCAUCAUGCCUCACCCCACCCUCCCAAGGCGACAUCUGCAGAGAGGAGAAUGAGGAGGAAGAGGAGGAGAAAGAGGAGGAGGAAGUAAGACAGAGGGGGACAAGAGGACCAAGAGGGCACAUGGCUGAGGAGGAGGAGAACAACAACAACAACAACAACAACAACAACAACAAGAAGCUUGGUGUUUUCAGGAUGUGUUCCUGAGUCUCGUGAGUAGCACAUGGCAGUUGUUGUCACCUUGGGCUGAGCCGUGAAGAUUCUCACCCUCCCUUGUUGGGGAUGAACUCCGGGAUUCUAAGGAGAGGUCAGCAGGUGUUUCACAGACUGUUCCUGUUGGAGGAUUUGUCUGAUACUCUUCUCCUGAUUAGUCUGGGCUCUACAUUUCCCCAAGGGUGAAACUUGGAAGCCCUCUCCAGGAUGCAGCAGGUAGCUGAGGAGAAAACGAAGACUGACCAGCCCAGAGCUCAGAGCUUCCUCCCAUGCUCAGGAUUUACCACCAAUGCCAUUACAUCGGCCUCUUCUUGUAUGCCUCUGGAAACCACAUGUGUCCUCUGUUUGUAAUGGUUUGGCUAUGGUUGCUGGCCCCUCUUGGACAUUGUUUUCAGAACUUAAAGAAACAUUGCUUUAAAGAUUUAUUAGAACAUAUUUAAAAUAAAACCAUCUUCUCAUUUA